UGUUGGAGAACGGAUUGGUAAGGAAGGAAGAGUCCCUUUCAAAGAGGCGAGUCAAGCUCUCUGCAUUUGGCUUAUUGGAUGAUAUCAAGCAGGGAGAAUAUUAUUCUAUUUCAAAGCAUGCAAUGGAGAACAUAUAUUCUAACAAUCUUCAAAAGAACAUGUUGCUGCUUCUUUUAAAUUCUCUGCUAGAAUCUGCCAUGGGAGGUCUGAUUAUACCUGCUAUGUAUUCCAGUGGCUAGUUGGAACAGAAAAUGGGGCCGGAAGAUACAACCAUAAACAAUCCAGUGAAAGAAGUCCCAGUAUCUAUCACCUACUUCA